rnacentral:lncRNA from 1 species
UCUCCCUUAUAAAAGCAGCGUUUCCACACAGAUACCCCUACGUUGUUUUAUUUUUCCGAUUGCUUAAAUGGCCGUGGGAAACAGAAACGACACCGUAACCUUUGUUCUCGUUUUAUGUCUUAUUUUCGCUACUCUAGCCAGCUCUUUCGGAGAAUAGAAGCAGCGGCAACUAGACCGCCGUUUCUGGUGGAAGACCGGUCCGAUCAGAUCCUAACACUUUUCAUCACCAUAAAACUCGCACCGAGAAUGGCGGCGGCAGCAGCAGCAGCAGCCGGGUCGCCGUCCCCACUCCGAGACCGGUCCGAUCAGGUCCCAACCCUUACCAGCACAACCGCCACCGCACGGCAUCUCAACCAUGAGCUUGAAUCAUAUAUAGGGGUUGAGGCUUUGAGCACGUUGAUUCCAUUCAUCUGCCAUCUAAAUUAAAAAACAUUCAUAAACAAUAAAGAUAAAUAGAUAAUAUAAAUGUUUAGAUGACAGAAUGUUUCAAAUUUGAAUGUUAAUUAAUGAGUUGAACACUUUAUAAUAUUUUAUUUUGCUUUAUUUUUUUAAUGUGAGAUUAUUUUUUGCUUGAUAACUUUACGCUGCGAACCCAAAUUUGAUGUGAUUAUUUUAUUAAUUUUGUUAAACAAAUGGAAUUCAGACAUUUUGAUAAACGAAUCACAUUUGAUUCCGAUAAAUUUUGUAUUUGAUAUAAAUGCAUGCCGUGAGUUUUGAUAAUAUAAAAUUUUGUUCAAGUCUAUUGAUGCGAUUGUGGAUCUCGUGAUGGCGAUGCUUCGACUUAUCAUUUAAUAAUUGCAGCGCGAUUGAUCAGCAGAGAAUAUUUUAAGUAGGGAUAGCAAAAAAUUCGCACUGAGACCGGUACUCUUAGAAUUUUUUUUUCAUUUGAAAAGAGUACGAAAAUAAGAAUUUUUUUUUCAUUUGAAGAGAGUACGAGAAUAAUUUUAUACAUGAUUUUUUAUUGUGGGAAGAGACGAAAUUUUUUUUUACUCAUAUUAUGUUUAUAUUACAUAAAAAUUAAAAAAUUAAAAAAUUAUUAAUUAACAUUAUAGUUGAUAAAAUAAAAAUUAAAAACAUAUUUAUAUAUAAUGGGGAUUGAGGUGGGGGUGGGGUGGGGAGUGUAAUAUCAAACUCCACCCCGUUAAUAAUUUGGGGAUUAUUUUUCCCCCACUCUCCACCCCAUUCCUCAAAAAUUAUUAAAAAAAAUUUUCAUUUGGGGUAGGGCUCCAUGGAGCCCCAAACCCGUGGAGUAUUUUGCCAUCCCUAUAACUGAUGAAUGGAUGAGUUGGUUUAAUAAAUUAGCACCUGGAAGCCGAACAGCUUGUUCUUCAAAUUAAUCUUAAAUAAAGACCUACAGCGGUAAUCAUUGUAUUCUUUUUUUUUUUUCUUUCUAUUUUACCAUUAAGAGUCUUCAAUCUUCACAGAGCGUCCAUGGCUACGAGCAAGUUUUUUUAAUUGUUUUAACUUCUAUUUGAAUAAAAAAAAAAUUGGUUAUCACGGUUGGAAAGUUACCUUUUAAUGUCGCCGUUGCCGUCGAUUGACGCAACCAGCACGUGCCAGAAUGCAAAUCAAAUUCUCUUAAAAGCAAAUGAUAUAGUACUCUCGGAAUGCUUGUCUAUCUGUUAAUAAAUCCCACAUAAAAAAUCUCAUCAUCUGUAAAUUGAAUUCUCUCAAAACCUUUUAAAAAGAAAUUUUUUUUUUUUAACGGGGGGUAUGGGGUUUAGGUGGAAUUUCAACAUUCGCUGAUUGUACCAUUUCUCUAAUUUUAUAUUUUCUUCCCUCUGGUUGACGAGAUUGGUGCCAAAUCAAUUUCUUUACAAAAAUCGAGCUUUAGAAUCUUUCCAGUAGCUCCCCACUUUCUUUUGUCGGCCACUCGUCGCGAGCCGCUCGAAGUUUUCCGAAAAGAAAGUUAGACUGGCGGCCCAAGGUGCGCUUAGAAGCGAGUAGAGGUGCGUUAAGUAAUUGUCAGCCCAAGUCCCCUAGUCCAAGGUGUGUUAGCUUGGCCUGAUUUUCAGAAUUUUUCGCCACAAUUAAAUUACUGCCAAAACUACUACAAAUUAUCUCUAGUAUCAAAGUUUUGAUCUAAUAAGUUCAUUAGAUUUUAUUUAAUUGAGUUUUUUUUUUCACUUUAUGUUAUUUUAUGUGUUAUUCUAAAAAAUAAGAGGUAAUUAAAACUUAUGUCUAUUUAUUUAUUAUAUAAUAAAAUAAUACGUUAAUAAUUAAAUUUACCAAACGCAUGUACACUGCUUGUCAAACUCAGAGCAGCCUUAACAAUAUAGUUUACCAAAUACCAAGCUGCUUCUUUAGUGAUCAGGUUAUUACAUCCGUACAGUAAAAUCAGCAAUUGAAAUCCCAAACUAACCCUAUGUGUGAAAAUGUCGGCUUUGCAUGUGUAGGAUAGCUAUAGGAUGGUCCCAGUUGAUGUUUGACUGCAUUUAGCUUGAAAUGGAUGCAGUGCGUAGGACGCUUUCAGCUCCAGUAAAAGAUUUAUUGAUUCCUUUCAUAUAACACAAGAGAGACAUUUAAAAGUUGGACAUUUUAAGAGUAAGGAUUUCUCAUCGACAUUUCCUCCAUAAGCUUACUCAACAUCCUUGAAAUUAAUUUCAUCAUUUUAAAUAUAACAACAACUGAGAUUUGGUUAUGAGAUAAUUUGUGGGGGUUGUAAGAGCUCCACUCUAAAUCUUAUAAAAAGUUAUAAUAGUUAGCCAUUCAAGUUCUUUCCUUCUAAAAUCUAUGCCUCAUGCUUUUAAACGUAUCUUAACAAAUUGUAUACAAUAAGGGCAGAUAAUAGCAAGGGUGGCUUAGGCCUAGACAUUGGACUCUGCUUAGGCAAUUGAGGCGGUUGCCCCAGCCCAAAUCACCCUUAUCCAAAAGUGCAAAGAUUCCAAUACAUACAUACAUAUAUAUGUGUGUGUGUGUGUGUGUGUGUAGGGGGCGGAUCCAUAAUCCCUUCAGAUUACGCCUAUUUUUACAAUUGAUUUUUAGUGAUUGAAAAAAAAAAUGCAUCAAGAUGCCAGAUGAUAUGGUAUCAUACUAUGGUUUCUGCAAAUGAAAAGAGAUCAGAAAAUUCAGUUCACUUUGACUUGGAUAUUAGCGAGAGCUUGUAUGGUAUCAUACUAUUUGUAUUAAUUCCAAAUCAUCACCACGUGAUUAGUUUGACCGUGAUAAUUAAUGAGUCAAAAAAACACUGCCGUAUAUUAGCGAGAGCCCAUCAAAAUUGAAUUUCAUUUUUCAAUGCAAUUGCCUUGUACUUUCUUGUUCACAGUAAUUAAUAAUUCAACUAGUCAAUUUUAUCGUGUUUACAUAUAAAGAAGUCUUUGGCCCUUAAUUUCUUGGCUUUACACGGCCGACAACAGUUGUGAUAUUAUGCUCCAACACGCGGUAGCCGAAAAGCGAGCUUUAUUCAUUGAGUCAUAGUUGCAGUAUCUUCAUACAUUUGGAGAAUAUUCACAUUAAAAAAAAAAAGAAAAUUCCAAGUUUUGAAAUCUUGAUAAGAUAACGUUCAUCGUCUAGAAAGAGCUACUAAAUCUACUUGCUGACCGUCAUAAUCAGUUCAUUAAAUUACCUUGUUUCUUUAUCUCAAAAGUCAAAACUAACGUAUGAGAUGAGCCAAAGCAGUGCCCUAGCUUUUGAAUCUUUUGCCGCAUAUUUGGGGUGUACAUUUUUUUGUGGAGAGUUGGCGAAUGGCGUGGCAUGACGGGGGCGAUGACCGCCCGCAAUUGUCAACAUAAUAAUAAUAAAAGCCUUUUACUCUCUCUUUUUUUUUAAUUAUUUUUAUUACUCGAAUGAAUUUUUUUUUUCAAAGUGACCUUCUUGAUGAAUUUAAUCUAAAUACUAAAGUCUUUUGUUAACACACGUUUGUGUCUAAUGCAAAAACAUUAUUAUGGGGAAAUUUGAUGACGUUAUAUAGUUUUUAAAAUAAUGCUGUCAAUUGUAUUAUAAAAAUAAUUAUUAUAAAAUAAAUUAAUCUAACUUGACAUUCUAGAAAAUUUAGAAAUUUGAAGUUCCUUUAGCAUGCCUGCUGUACGGCCAAGGCAGAUGUACGGUACAGCAGAACUUAAAAUAAAUAUUUUUAUUUUAUUAAUUUUUUUUAUAUUUCCAUCUCAAUAUAAUUGGUAAUGAUAAUAGUCUAACUAAAUAUAAUGACUUUAUUUCUUAAUUGAAGAAGGAUGAUUUUAAAUUUUUAUAAUACAUGUGAGGGUGAAUAUAUAUAAAAUUAUAUUAAAUAUAAAAUUGAUUCUCAAAAUUAAAUUUUGAAAAGGAGUGAUGGUAUUUGAACACCUAAUUUCUCUCACCUGCUCCUAAUAAUUAUUUUAAUGUAAAUUUCCAUUUUAUUCUUAUAUGAAAUUACUAAAAAGGAUAAAUAUGAAAUUACUAAAAAGAAUAAAUACGCUUUAAGUACCAACAAUACAAAUAAUGUUUUACAAUAACAGAGCUAUUCAAUCAAUUUAGUCUUGUCUUUACAUUAAUGAUAUUCUAAUUUUUUUCAAAUUAUUUAAAUUCUCAAACUACCUCUGUUAUCUAGUUUGUAGUAAGGAAGAAGAAGUCGAAAUAGUUGGAAACUCAUGAAUGAUGACGAUGAACUGGUACCCCCACCCCCACUGCAUAAUUUGUUAGCCAUAAAGAUUGUGGGAUUUACCAAAAAGAAAAUAACCCAACAAAAAUGGUUUCAAUGUAAAGAAAAAUAUUUAUUCGUCAAAUACCAGCUUUAUGUAUCCAAUGGCUAAGAGGAGAAAUCAGGAGGAGGAUAAUUCAUUGGUGUUGGAGAUCUGCCAAAGGUUUAAUUUUAAUUUUUUUAGGGAAUUAUGUUUAAUUUUCAAAAUAUGAUUAAAAUUAACAACUAGAUUUUGGAAGUUUUAAAUGAUGGGGAGUAUAAAAAGAAUUUAAAAAAAUGAUAACAAGGGUAAAUUUAGGAUUGCAUGGUAUGUAUUGAAGGAGAAAAAUUAUUUUAAAAUUGGGAGAUUGCCACUUCCCCCCCUAUAGAAAUUAACGUAUACCAUUUAUUCCCCUGUUGUUUUUAUAAUGGCCAAAAACCCCCCUGACAGUAUAAGUUUACAAUAUUACCUUUAUUUUUAAUUACUAUUUUAUUUACAUUUAUUAUAAAUUAAAUAAAUUACAUGAAUAAAAACUAAAUAAAAAAAUUAAGUAUUAAAAAAAAGAAAUAUAUGUUUUGAUAUGAGCAAAAAAAUUAAUAAUAAUUUUUUUUGUAAUUAUUUAUUUUGUAAACAUUUUCUUAUAAUAAAAAUUUUGUAAUAUUUUAAAAUUAAAUGUAAAACGUAUAGGCAAAAUAUUUUAUUAUUUAUCUUCUAAUAAAUUUUUAUUUGUCAUUCAAAUUUUAUUAUAAUAAUUUUUUUAUCAUUUUAUAAUAACUUUCUUAUAUAUUUAUUAUAAGAAAAAUUUCACAAAAUAAAUAAGUACAAGAAAAAAAAAUUUUUAUUAUUUUUUUCUCAUAUCAAAACAUAUAUUUCUUUUUUUUAAUGCUUAAUUUUUUAUUUAGUUUCUAUUCAUGUGAUUUAUUUAAUUUAUAAUAAAUAUAAAUAAAAGAGUAGUUGAAAAUAAGGGUAAUAUUAUAAACUUAUAUUGUCAUGGGGGUUUUUGACCAUUAUAAAAACAGCAGGGGAGAAAAUGGUAUAUGUUAAUUACUGUAGGGUGGAAAUUGGCAAAUCUCCUUUAAAAUUUUAUGGGAUUAAUUAAGAAUUAUGGGCUAAUCAGAGAAAUUGAGGGGGUCAAAUAUCACCACUUUUGAAAAAAUUACUUUUCCCCCACUGUUUAAAAUCUGUUGAAGAAACAAGAUGAUUUUGCUAAAAAUAAUUUUUUAAAAAAUUUAUCAAUUUUUAGAAAAUUAAUUUUUAACUUUUCAAAAUCACAUUUAAGCAUCUUAAAAACCCUAAAUAUAAUACUAAGGAUAAAACGUUUUUUUACAAUUACAUAUGUAGUGGGGGAGUACUAAAGACAUAGAUUUUUAAUUUAAUACAAAUUAAAAAAGAAAACUAAUUAAUGACGAACCACUGAGGCAUAAAUGGGUGCUUUCCAUGACCGCCCCAAAUCGAAAAUGCUAUUAUAGGCAGGGACGUACGUAAAGCCGUCAAAUCACCUGUCAAUAUAAUUAUACAAUUAGUAGUUGUCACUGUCUUGAAUUACUGUGUAAAGAAACUAAAGUUUUUUAUUCCUUUUAUCAAUCCCAACACCAAACCAGUACUCAUUAAAAAUUCCUAAAAACCCUAAACCAUUCUUUAUUUUCGCAUCUCCAGAAGAAGUCAAAAGGUUAUAGUGAUAGUGCCGCCGCGCACAACUUUUCCUUUCCUCCAAAGUUUUAUCAUAUUUUUGUCACUGUCUGCAGAUUGCUGCGGUGGCGGUCUCCAUCACGCUUUCUGACCAGAUUGAGUUGCAAAUUGCUAGAGAGAAAAAUCCAGACUCUACCUAACUAAAUGAUAAUCCUAUACUGAGCUCAUGUUUAUUUGUCUUUAGUAACGAGUCGCUGUCAGAAAACCGAAGAAGAUGGCUACUGGCAAAUACGUGUGUUAUCAACGGCGUUCCACGUCGCCACCAUUUUUUCAUAUUAUUUAUUAUUUAUUUAUGCUUUGUUUCUCACUUAUAAAAUGCAGCGUUUCCCCCACGGAUACCCCUACAUUGUUUUAUUUUUCCGGUUGCUUAAAUGGCCGUCGGAAACAGAAACGACACCGUAACCAUUGUUCUCGUUUUAUGUCUUAUUUUCGCUACUCUAGCCAGCUCUACUGGUUUUGUUAGGAACAUCACACAGGUAACUAACUCAUUACUCGUUUUGAAAACAUAACACUUGGAGCUUUAGUUAUAUAUGAUCGGCGAUUUUUUAUUUAUUUUUUCUUCUUGAUAGGAGUCUGGCUCGGAGAAUAGAAGCAGCGGCAACUAGACCGCCGUUUCUGGUGGAAGACCGGUCCGAUCAGAUCCUAACACUUUUCACCACCAUAAAAGUCGCACCGAGAAUGGCGGCGCCAGCAGCAGCAGCCGGGUCGCCGUCCCCACUCCGAGACCGGUCCGAUCAGGUCCCAACCCUUACCAGCACAACCGCCACGACUAUCGCACGGCAUCUCAACCAUGAGCUUGAAUCAUAUAUAGGGGUUGAGGCUUUGAGCACAUUGAUUCCGUUCAUCUGCCGUCUAAAUUUUAAAAAAAAUCAUAAACAAUAAAGAUAAAUAGAUAAUAUAAAUGUUUAGAUGACAGAAUGUUUCAAAUUUGAAUGUUAAUUAAUGAGUUGAACACUGUAUAAUAUUUUAUUUUGCUUUAUUUUUUUAAUGUGAGAUUAUUUUUUGCUUGAUAACUUUACGCUGCGAACCCAAAUUUGAUGUGAUUAUUUUAUUAAUUUUGUUAAACAAAUGGAAUUCAGACAUUUUGAUAAACGAAUCACAUUUGAUUCCGAU